GCUCAGGGAGGGCAGCAUCCCAGCCACCCAUGGAGUGUGUCUUCCAGCUGGCCCUAAGAUAGUCUUCACCAGUGGCAGCUGGGGAAUAGAUGCAGCUUGUCUCUUUUGCAGCUACACGUGGCCGUGGAUUGAGCUCAAGGCAAAGGAAAAAGGUUCCCAGGGAAUGCCUGCUGGAGUUGGGGUCUGCAACAGCUGGAUACGUGUGGAGGAGAAAACUUGUGUGAUCCAAGGGAGAUGGAGGCAGGAAAGGAGGAGAGUCAGCAGGUGAUCUGCUACAGAGCUGAGAGUGAGUGACAUUGGGGGAUUGGAUGUGAAGGAAAAGAGGUGUAGUUUGAGAUCUGUAGUUGCCCUAUCUGCUUUCCUGGCUGGUAUGGAGUGCUGUUUCUGUUUUGUUUUGUUUUGUUUUUUCCAUACUGGUCUUCACAUUGUUACACUGUAGCCU